rnacentral:misc_RNA from 1 species
UAGUGAACCCAUGCACUCAACACUCUGUCAUUGUGAACACAAAAUAAAAUUAGAAAAACAAAUGUAAGAAGAAGUGAGACAAUGAAUUUAAAGAAUUAUAAUUCAAAAUUUCAAAUGAUUGAUUUUUUCUGUUUUUAUUCUCAGUGCUGUGAGUUUCAAUUUCUAUGGGUGCCAAAUGCUUUCUGCCAUUGCUGGGAGAGCUUGCGACAAAAUGACAGAGACAGAAUCAUAAGUUUAUAACCAACAGAAUCAUCAUGAAGCAAAAAUCUAAAUAAAUCACUAUUUAAAAUGAGAAAGGACAUGAAGA